CCUACGGGAGGCUGCAGUGAGGAAUAUUGGUCAAUGGACGAGAGUCUGAACCAGCCAAGUAGCGUGAAGGAUGACUGCCCUAUGGUUUGUAAACUUCUUUUAUAUGGGAAUAAAAUGUUCCACGUGUGGGAUUUUGUAUGUACCAUAUGAAUAAGGAUCGGCUAACUCCGUGCCAGCAGCCGCGGUAAUACUGAGGAUCCGAGCGUUAUCCGGAUUUAUUGGGUUUAAAGGGAGCGUAGGUGGAUUGUUAAGUCAGUUGUGAAAGUUUGCGGAUCAACCGUAAAAUUGCAGUUGAAACUGGCAGUCUUGAGUACAGUAGAGGUGGGCGGAAUUCGCGGUGUAGCGGUGAAAUGCUUAGAUAACACGAAGAACUACGAGUGCGAAGGCAGCUCACUGGACUGCAACCGAAACCGAGGCUCGAAAGUGUGGGUAUCCAACAGGAAUAGAUACCCGAGUAGUC
rnacentral:rRNA from 1 species